AAAGUCGUAACAAGGUCUCCGUUGGUGAACCAGCGGAGGGAUCAUUACCGAGUUUACAACUCCCAAACCCCAGUGUGAACGCUACCGUUUGUUGCCUCGGCGGGAUCGCCCCGGGCGCGUCGCAGCCCCGGGCCAAGGCGCCCGCCGGAGGGAAACCCCAAACCCGUCAUGUCUAGGCCGCCGCCGCGCGUGCCCGUAUCACCUCUGAAGAAGAAAACCCCCCCGAACGGGGCGGGAAACAAAAUGAAUCAAAACUUUCAACAACGGAUCUCUUGGUUCUG
rnacentral:misc_RNA from 1 species